CUGCACCUCACAGUCAGCAGCAGACCCUCCCUCCCAGACCCUCCCACCUCCUGGACAGCAUCCAUUUUACAUUCAUUGUGAAGCUGCAUUCUUAGUGAGCUGUCCAGGAGGUGGGAGGGUCUGGGAGGGAGGGUCUGCUGCUGAUUGGCUGGAAUGU